GAUGUACUCCCUCCGUUCCGAAUUACUUGUCUCGGAAAUGGAUGUACCUAGAACUAAAAUACAUCUAGAUACAUCCAUUUCCGAGACAAGUAAUUCAGAACGGAGGGAGUACAAU
rnacentral:pre_miRNA from 1 species